GCGCCCGUAGCUCAGUCGGUCGGUAGAGCGGUGGAACGUUGAUCCACAGUCCCGGUUUCAAGUCCCCGCGGUCGCU